AGAAAUCACAGAACUCCGGCGAGAUGGGGGCUGGGAGCCCGUUGGGGCCUGUGGAAGUCACAGGAUUGAAUGUUGCCAUUCAUGUUAUCAUAUCUAAGUCACUUGGACACUGACACAAGUCCCU